UCGGGAAUUUUGGGCAAUGGGCGAAAGCCUGACCUAGCAACGCCGCGUGAAGGAUGAAGUAUUUCGGUAUGUAAACUUCGUAAGAAUAGGAAGAAUAAAUGACGGUACUAUUUGUAAGGUCCGGCUAACUACGUGCCAGCAGCCGCGGUAAUACGUAGGGACCAAGCGUUGUUCGGAUUUACUGGGCGUAAAGGGCGCGUAGGCGGCAAUUCAAGUCAUCUGUGAAAUCUCCGGGCUUAACUCGGAACGGUCAGAUGAUACUGCUUUGCUAGAGUGCAGAAGGGGCAAUCGGAAUUCUUGGUGUAGCGGUGAAAUGCGUAGAUAUCAAGAGGAACACCUGAGGUGAAGACGGGUUGCUGGGCUGACACUGACGCUGAGGCGCGAAAGCCAGGGGAGCAAACGGGAUUAGAUACCCGAGUAGUCCCUGAGCGGGCUGGCAAGGCGCAU
rnacentral:rRNA from 1 species